rnacentral:rRNA from 1 species
GCUGGCGGCGUGGCUAAGACAUGCAAGUCGAACGGACCAUUAAUUCAUUAGUGGUUAGUGGCGAAAGGGUUAGUAACAGGUGGGUAACGUACCCUGUGCUUCGGGAUAGCGUCAGUUACUUCGGUAACUUUCCGAAAGGGGCAUUAAUACCGAAUUAAAUCAUAAGUCGAUAGGCUUAUGAUCAAAGAUUUAUCGGCAUAGGAGCGGCCUGCCUCCUAUCAGCUUGUUGGUGAGGUAAUGGCUCACCAAGGCAUCGACGGGUAGCGGGACUGAGAGGUUGACCCGCAACAUCGGGACUGAGACACUGCCCGGACCUCCACGGAGGGCUGCAGUAACGAAUAUUGUGCAAUGGGCGAAAGCCUGACACAGCGACGCCGCGUGUAGGAGGAAGUCCCUCGGGAUGUAAACUACUGUCAGGGGGAAGAAAGUGUGCUUCGGCACAUUGAUCUAACCCAGAGGAAGUCACGGCUAACUUCGUGCCAGCAGCCGCGGUAAGACGAAGGUGGCUAGCGUUGUUCGGUAUCACUGGGCUUAAAGCGUGUGUAGGCGGAAAAGUAAGCGUUUUGUGAAAGCCCCCGGCUUAACCGGGGAAUUGCGUGACGAACUGCUUUUCUUGA